GAGGAAAAGAAGCAGAAGCUAAGUAGAAAGCAACAGAAAGACAGUCAAGGAACCCUUUCCAGCUGGCUGGUGAUAUGACUGCAAGGCUCUCCCAGGAAGGCACCAGGAACUCGGCCUCUGGAUCUGCCGGAACUCCAGGAUCUGUGUGUGACCCGUGAGAGGAUCCCCAAGCGCUUCCUUGGCCCACUGAAGCCCUGUGUUCAAGUCCUGGUGAGCCCAGGCUGCCACAAGGGCAGCUUGUGCUGGGGUGAAGAAGGGGAUGGUGAGGAGAAGGCGUCUCAGCCAGCUUUUAAGCCAUCUCUGUCUUCUGGAGACUGUAUUCAUUGGGACCAGCAGAAGAAAACUUUAGAAAUCAUCUGGAAUUCCUUAUAUUCAGCACAGGGAAAACAACUGGAAACAGUACUGAGCUGUCAAAUGAAGUAACAGAAAAAAAGUAAAGACUGCAGCUUGGUCAGCAAACAAAAAAAACAGUGUCCAACAAGCACUGACCAGAGUCAGCUAUACCCCAUGAAAAUGCAAUUUAUACCAUAUAACUUCUUUUGGCAGUUGCUUAGUGAAAACAUGAUAUGAUCUCAAGCUGGGAAGCAGGCACAGACAGGCUCAUUACAAAGUUAAGCAUAUACAUACAUAUAUAAAGCUAGUGUAUAAAAGAACACAGGAUCUGUCUUGUAGUGCUGCUGUUAUCAUAUAUUACCAUGAAAUCUCAAUACAGAGACAAAUACUGGCAGAGAUAAAGCAUUUAGUAGCAUUGCUCAAUGUAGAUAGUGACUUUAGUUUAAAAGAAAGAAAGAAAACAGAUUCAGGCAUAUUCUUAUGCAUCCAAUCUCAUAUUUCCAUCUCUUAUUCAGGGCAGAAUCGCCAAGAUUUCAUGAAGUUUCCUGCACACAAUUUGUGAUCCAGAUGGGAGAAUCAAUGCUUCCAUUUACUUUACUAUUAUUCAUUUUGAUUCCUGGAGACAAGAAGAGCCUCAAGCAGAGAGCUGGGGCUGCCCUGAUUUAAAUCAUCUUUAAAGACUGAGCUGCAUAGGGUACAGUUAAAAACACCA